CCAAUAUCAUGCUUUAUGAUUUCCUUGGAGCGUGGUACAUGUGGUAUUGUAUUUUUUCUUUAAAAAUCAGCAAAGGUUUUAAUAUAUCAGAGCAGGCUAAAACAGAUCUAGAGCACUAAUUUGUAAAGGUUUUUGUACGUUUCCACUCUCGUUCUAUCCGUCUACAUGAACAUAAACAGACACACAAACACACACACACGUAUUGUGAAGGAAAAUUGAAAUGUAACUACAUUCACCAGAGGUCGGAUUGUGGGGGAGGCCCCUUUUAUGGAGCUUCAUAUAUGAUAAAUGCAGACUUCUUACAAGACUCACUACAAAAUUGGAUUAGUAGACUUUCCCUCUUUUUUUUCAAAAUACUUGAUCCGCACCUGAUCGCAGAGCAUUUCUUGAAUGUUGGAAGUUUAGUCGAAAUUAAAAUAGUAUAAUGAAAACUAAUUCAAAUUUUCACAAGACAUAUCCCUCAAAUCAAAACGUACAACAGUGAGAGUAAUACAUGUACGGAUGUAUGAAAAGCCAAGAGCACAUAAAAUCGUAAAAAAACAUUUACUGCAUAUAUACAAAAAUGAAGAUUACUGCAAUAACAUAAAUAUCUUAGAUGGGUGAAGGUCAUAUUUUGUUUUCGGCUGGCUGAUGAUCAAAUCCCAUAAAACGAUUUAGAAAAGGCAAACGUUGGAUUAAAAUAUCGUAUUUAUGUUGAAAGGAAUUGGAAUUUGUAUCAGUAAUUACGAAUUCAAUACACUCGCCCAACUUUUCAAAAUUGAGUAAACGGUUCCAUGGCGACCGUAAAAUAACAAAAGUCUCAUUUUUUUUUAGAAUAUUGGUCAUAUUAGUUCAGACUGUUCAAAUCUUGAAUUGCAAAUACAAAUGAAAAUUUAGCAAAAAGACAAAUGAGAGGGAAGAAUGUUGUGGAUGGCCCUGGACUUAACGAGCUCUCUACAAGGCUGAGCAGUAUACUUUGGCC
rnacentral:lncRNA from 1 species